rnacentral:rRNA from 1 species
UACGUAGGGUGCAAGCGUUGUCCGGAAUUAUUGGGCGUAAAGAGCUCGUAGGCGGUCUGUCGCGUCGGCUGUGAAAACCCGGGGCUCAACCCCGGGCCUGCAGUCGAUACGGGCAGACUAGAGUGCGGUAGGGGAGACUGGAAUUCCUGGUGUAGCGGUGAAAUGCGUAGAUAUCGGGAGGAACACCAGUGGCGAAGGCGAUCAUCUGGGGUUGUUCUGACGCUGAGGAGCGAAAGCUAGGGGAGCAAACGGG